rnacentral:antisense_RNA from 1 species
CAGUCCGCUGCUUGUGUGCCGCGAGGAGAGGCGCAAAGGGUGACACACCAGGAAAGCAGGGGUUAGUUAUAGCAGGCAAGAGUGUGGUUAUCGUUGGACCAGGAUUCAGGAUCUGACCGAGUAGCUGACUCUUAAUCCAGUUUGUGUUGAUCACCAGGAGGAUCUGGACCUCAGUGUUAUCAUAUCUAGAGCUAUAAUCACAUCCCUGUUAAGCCUUCCUGAGAUCACAUCAAAUGUCCUUGAUGGGAAUUGUAAACAAACCUUAAUUCUGGUAUCUAAUGAUAUUCCAGGAAAGGAGUCAAACUAGAGUCAGUGAUAUGCCAACUCCACCUUUGCCUUCCACCAUGUUUGGAAGCUCCCUGAGGCCUCACCAGGAGCAGAUGCUCAUCCCAUGCUUCCUAUAAGCCUGCAGAACUGGAAAAGAAAGCUGGAUAAAGUAUUUAUAGAAGAUAGAGGACCUGUGGUGGCUCAUGCCUGUAAUCCAAGGUGCAAGGAUCGCUUGAGGCCAGAAGUUCAAGACCAGUCCAAGCAACAUAGCAAGGCCCCAUCUCUACAAAAAAUGAAAAUAAAAUUAGCCAAGCAUGAUGGCUCAUGCCUGUAGUUCUAGCUUCUAGAGAGGCUGAGGCAGGA